rnacentral:rRNA from 1 species
AGAGUUUGAUCCUGGCUCAGAACGAACGCUGGCGGCAUGCCUAACACAUGCAAGUCGAACGAUGGCUUCGGCCAUAGUGGCGCACGGGUGAGUAACACGUGGGAACCUGCCUUUCGGUUCGGAAUAACGUUUGGAAACGAACGCUAACACCGGAUACGCCCUUCGGGGGAAAGUUUACGCCGAGAGAGGGGCCCGCGUCCGAUUAGGUAGUUGGUGGGGUAACGGCCUACCAAGCCGACGAUCGGUAGCUGGUCUGAGAGGAUGAUCAGCCACACUGGGACUGAGACACGGCCCAGACUCCUACGGGAGGCAGCAGUGGGGAAUAUUGGACAAUGGGCGCAAGCCUGAUCCAGCAAUGCCGCGUGAGUGAUGAAGGCCUUAGGGUUGUAAAGCUCUUUCGCACGCGACGAUGAUGACGGUAGCGUGAGAAGAAGCCCCGGCUAACUUCGUGCCAGCAGCCGCGGUAAUACGAAGGGGGCUAGCGUUGUUCGGAAUUACUGGGCGUAAAGGGCGCGUAGGCGGCCUUGUCAGUCAGAAGUGAAAGCCCCGGG